rnacentral:misc_RNA from 1 species
AAGUCGUAACAAGGUUUCCGUAGGUGAACAUUGGAACAGUUACAAUCGAGCGGUAGUUUCAUAGGCAUUGUUUCCCCAAGCAGUCAGUGUCGGAAAGUGUCAUUGAUUGUGCAAGGAUAGCGCUUCACGAUUCCUGUAGACCGUACACUCGGGCAGGAGCCAUGCCCCCUUAUAACCCCACAGUUUAAUGUAAAGCUCAAUGUAAUACAUUUGGGUAAAAAAACCGAAAAACUGUUAUCUUGGUUCUC